rnacentral:rRNA from 1 species
GACGAACGCUGGCGGCGUGCCUAAUACAUGCAAGUAGAACGCUGAAGGAGGAGCUUGCUUCUCUGGAUGAGUUGCGAACGGGUGAGUAACGCGUAGGUAACCUGCCUGGUAGCGGGGGAUAACUAUUGGAAACGAUAGCUAAUACCGCAUAAUAGUAGAUGUUGCAUGACAUUUGCCUAAAAGGUGCAAUUGCAUCACUACCAGAUGGACCUGCGUUGUAUUAGCUAGUUGGUGGGGUAACGGCUCACCAAGGCGACGAUACAUAGCCGACCUGAGAGGGUGAUCGGCCACACUGGGACUGAGACACGGCCCAGACUCCUACGGGAGGCAGCAGUAGGGAAUCUUCGGCAAUGGACGGAAGUCUGACCGAGCAACGCCGCGUGAGUGAAGAAGGGUUUCGGAUCGUAAAGCUCUGUUGUAAGAGAAGAACGAGUGUGAGAGUGGAAAGUUCACACUGUGACGGUAGCUUACCAGAAAGGGACGGCUAACUACGUG